CCUACGGGAGGCAGCAGUGGGGAAUAUUGCACAAUGGGGGAAACCCUGAUGCAGCGACGCCGCGUGAGUGAAGAAGUAAUUCGUUAUGUAAAGCUCUAUCAGCAGGGAAGAAAAUGACGGUACCUGAGUCAGAAGCCCCGGCUAACUACGUGCCAGCAGCCGCGGUAAUACGUAGGGGGCAAGCGUUAUCCGGAUUUACUGGGUGUAAAGGGAGCGUAGACGGCAGUGCAAGUCUGAAGUGAAAGGCGGGGGCUCAACCCCCGGACUGCUCUGGAAACUGUACGGCUGGAGUGCAGGAGAGGUAAGUGGAAUGCCUAGUGUAGCGGUGAAAUGCGUAGAUAUUAGGAGGAACACCAGUGGCGAAGGCAGCUUACUGGACUAUAACUGACGUUGAGGCUCGAAAGCGUGGGGAGCAAACAGGAUUAGAUACCCUGGUAGUC
rnacentral:rRNA from 1 species